rnacentral:tRNA from 1 species
GGCCCCUUAGCUCAUCUGGAUAGAGCGCCAGUUUCCUAAACUGUAGGUAGCAGGUUCGAGUCCUGCAGGGGUCACCA